rnacentral:rRNA from 1 species
GACGAACGCUGGCGGCGUGCCUAAUACAUGCAAGUAGAACGCUGAAGGAGGAGCUUGCUUCUCCGGAUGAGUUGCGAACGGGUGAGUAACGCGUAGGUAACCUGCCUGGUAGCGGGGGAUAACUAUUGGAAACGAUAGCUAAUACCGCAUAACAGUAGAUAUUGCAUGAUAUCUGCUUGAAAGGUGCAAUUGCAUCACUACCAGAUGGACCUGCGUUGUAUUAGCUAGUUGGUGGGGUAACGGCUCACCAAGGCGACGAUACAUAGCCGACCUGAGAGGGUGAUCGGCCACACUGAGACUGAGACACGGCCCAGACUCCUACGGGAGGCAGCAGUAGGGAAUCUUCGGCAAUGGACGGAAGUCUGACCGAGCAACGCCGCGUGAGUGAAGAAGGUUUUCGGAUCGUAAAGCUCUGUUGUAAGAGAAGAACGAGUGUGAGAGUGGAAAGUUCACACUGUGACGGUAUCUUACCAGAAAGGGACGGCUAACUACGUGCCAGCAGCCGCGGUAAUACGUAGGUCCCGAGCGUUGUCCGGAUUUAUUGGGCGUAAAGCGAGCGCAGGCGGUUAGAUAAGUCUGAAGUUAAAGGCUGUGGCUUAACCAUAGUACGCUUUGGAAACUGUUUAACUUGAGUGCAAGAGGGGAGAGUGGAAUUCCAUGUGUAGCGGUGAAAUGCGUAGAUAUAUGGAGGAACACCGGUGGCGAAAGCGGCUCUCUGGCUUGUAACUGACGCUGAGGCUCGAAAGCGUGGGGAGCAAACAGG